rnacentral:rRNA from 1 species
UACGGGGGGGGGCAAGCGUUGUUCGGAAUUACUGGGCGUAAAGGCUCGUAGGUGGCCAACUAAGUCAGACGUGAAAUCCCUCGGCUUAACCGGGGAACUGCGUCUGAUACUGGACGGCUUGAGUUUGGGAGAGGGACGCGGAAUUCCAGGUGUAGCGGUGAAAUGCGUAGAUAUCUGGAGGAACACCGGUGGCGAAGGCGGCAUCCUGGACCAACACUGACGCUGAGGAGCGAAAGCGUGGGGAGCAAACAGG